GCGGCGGUAGCUCAGUUGGUAGAGCGCAACCCUCCCAAGGUUGAGGUCGCGAGUUCGAACCUCGUUCGCCGCUCCA
rnacentral:tRNA from 1 species